rnacentral:rRNA from 1 species
UGCCAGCAGCCGCGGUAACACGGGGGGCGCAAGCGUUACUCGGAAUUACUGGGCGUAAAGGGCGCGUAGGUGGUUGAUUAAGUUAGAUGUGAAAUCCCUAGGCUUAACCUAGGACGUGCAUUUAAAACUGGUUGACUAGAGUUUGGGAGAGGGAAGUGGAAUUUCCGGUGUAGCGGUGAAAUGCGUAGAUAUCGGAAGGAACAUCAGUGGCGAAGGCGACUUCCUGGACCAAUACUGACACUGAGGCGCGAAAGCGUGGGUAGCAAACAGGAUUAGAUA